AAAUAAGAAGCGAUAAAUUGCAUUCAGUUUCGACCUGAUUUUAGAUGAUACACAUCCUUAUUUU
rnacentral:tRNA from 1 species